rnacentral:rRNA from 1 species
GACGAACGCUGGCGGUGUGCUUAACACAUGCAAGUCGAACGGUAAGGCCCUUUCGGGGGUACACGAGUGGCGAACGGGUGAGUAACACGUGAGUAACCUGCCCUCAUCCCUGGGAUAACAGUCGGAAACGGUUGCUAAUACUGGAUAUGAGCUUGCAAGGCAUCUUGUGGGUUGGAAAGAUUUUUUUGGUUGGGGAUGGACUCGCGGCCUAUCAGCUUGUUGGUGAGGUAGUGGCUCACCAAGGCUUCGACGGGUAGCCGGCCUGAGAGGGCGACCGGCCACAUUGGGACUGAGAUACGGCCCAAACUCCUACGGGAGGCAGCAGUGGGGAAUAUUGCACAAUGGACGGAAGUCUGAUGCAGCAACGCCGCGUGCGGGAUGACGGCCUUCGGGUUGUAAACCGCUUUCAAUUGUGACGAAGCUUUUUGUGACGGUAGCAGUAGAAGAAGCACCGGCUAACUACGUG